AUUGAACGCUGGCGGCAGGCCUAACACAUGCAAGUCGAACGAGUGGCGGACGGGUGAGUAAUGUCUGGGAAACUGCCUGAUGGAGGGGGAUAACUACUGGAAACGGUAGCUAAUACCGCAUACCAUCAGAUGUGCCCAGAGGGGAUUAGCUAGUUGGUGGGGUAACGGCUCACCAAGGAGACGAUCCCUAGCUGGUCUGAGAGGAUGACCAGCCACACGUGAACUGAGACACGAACCAAACUCCUACGGCAGGCAGCAGUGGGGAAGAUUGCAGUAGGGGCGCAAGCCUGAUGCAGCGAUGCCACGGGUAUGAAGAAGGCCUUCGGGUUGUAAAGGACUGUCGGCUGAGAGGCGUUACCCGCAGAAGAAGCACCUGCUAACUCCGUGCCAGCAGCCGCGGUAAUAC
rnacentral:rRNA from 1 species